AUUGCAGGCAUCCUGAGUCUCGGCCCUUUUCGCCAAAUCGCUGCUCUGCCGCGCGCCUACGCAAGGAAAGAUUCAAGGGUCCCUCCACUUCAGGGAGUGGAGCCCGCGCCUCGGCACGGAUCAGCUGUGCGUCUCCUUUGGCCUACUGGCUCCUCUGCUUGUGUCUAUAGCUAGCUGGACGCAUCGUGACUUUAUCUUCUCAUCUUUCCUGGCGCCCCCAGACGCAUUUCCUGGUCCCUCGAGGCAGCGGCGUCUGGGGAGUGCACUUUGCACAGACAGGGAAACCGAGGCACUCAGCGGUCUCCAAUGGAGACGCUGUAAUCGCAUUCCACGACCAGCUAGCGCUAUAAGCGCUGCCUCUAAAGCGGAAGGCCUCCCAGUCCUUCUCGACAGGAAGCAAUAUUUGCAUAUCUAAGGAGAACAAGAUUCGGCAAUGUGCUCCGGGAGCAAGUGCAGGCAUGGAACGGUAUGGGCUGGAGGGGGACAGACCUUCAGAGGCGGCUGCCCGUUCCCUGUAGUGUCACAUAAGAUUUUUAGAAGAUAGGAGUUUUCACAGUGGCGGCAGAGCCCUCUGCUAAAUCCUCAUAUUAGAUGUCAAAGGUGGCAUGUCAUUUGACCCAAUGGCUUUUUUAGUCAUUUAUCUUCCUAACACCUAUGAGAGUAGAGACAGGGUUUCACCAUGUUGGCCAGCCUGGUCUCAAACUCCUGAUCGCAAGUGAUCCGCCUACCUUGGCCUCCUAAAGUGCUGGGAUUACAGGCGUGAGCCACGUCUUUGUUCCAGCAAAACCAACCUAGUCCCUGAUUCACAAAUCAUCCUGGGAGUGUACAGCACUUACAGCCAGAAAGAAGUCUCUGGAGCAAAAAGCAUUGCAUAUUCAAUGGUCUAUGACAUCACCAUCGAAGACUCUGUCAAAAGGGGUUUUGUUUGAUUAAUUUUCAUUAUCUGUUGUUACCCAACUAAUGAAAGGUGAUACUAUUAAUGAGUGUGUGAACGAGACAGUGUCUUCGUUACCACCUCUGAAACACUCCCAGCUUUUUCAGGGACGAAUAGCCCUGACCCAAAGUGUGUCCUUUCUUCAUUGUAGGGAGAUACAAACUGUUUCUCUCCAAGUACUCCAACACCAAUUAUUGUGUGUCACAACCGAGAACACAAUAUGAGGCUUGUGCUUGAAUUACUGCUGUUUUAUGUGCCAAAAAAAAUGCUAGCUUUCUUUUUUCAGUGAAGUUGAUAGAGUUGGAAGACAUUUUAAUACCACAUUUAUUGGUUUGAAAGCAUGAUUGUUUUAGUAGCUGGUGCAAAUUUCAAGGAACACAUAACUCCCUUUAAGAAAUAUUGUUUCUAAGAAAUUACAUUUGACUAAAUUUGGAAGCUUUAAUGCAAAUAACUUUCAAACAAUGAAACCAUAUUCACAAGGAGAUGCUUUUAUUUUCUCCACUGAGGAAGAAAUGGAGACAUGUUUCCUAUUGUCGUUAUGUCCAUCUGGACAGAAAAGGAAGUCUGUGGGCUAGACAAGCAAAAAUAGGUUACAUCUGGGUAGCCCAGCAGUCUCUCCCUGACUGCUGAAGAAGCUCCUCUUUGUUUCAUUCCUGAAGCACGGCGUUGUUUUCUUGGACCCGUGCAUCAAGUUAAACCUGAGUUAGACUAUGGAUCCCUUGCACUUGAUUUUAUGAUUGUAAGACUUACACAAAUGCAAGCCUAGAACACAAUUGAACUCUUAUUUGCUUACAUCUCCAUGAACAGGAAAGAAGCCACUUGAUCUUCUAAAAGUUUUGCCCGGUUGCUUUCUCUUUUAUACCUAUUGUUAAGCUAUAAAAUGAAAUCACCAAAUUAUCAAUCUGCGAGUAUUUGCUACUUCGCAAUAUAUAUUUAAGAAUUUUACAAAACAAAACUGUGCCAUAAAAAGUAUUUCAUCCAUAUGAUCUUACAGUUCCACUUCUAAGAAUGCAUAUACCCAAAAGAAUUGAAAGCAAGAUCUCAAAGAUAUUUGUAUACCUGUGUUCGUAGCAGAUUAUCCACAAUAGCUAAAGGUGGAAGCAAGCCAAGCGUCUAUCAAUGUAUGAAUGGAUAAGUACAAUGUGGUAUACACAAACAAUGAAUUGUCAUUCAGCCUUAAAAAGGAAGGAUAUUCUGGGCUGGGCGCGGUGGCUCAAGUCUGUAAUCUCAGUACUAUGGGA
rnacentral:lncRNA from 1 species